GAUGAACGCUGGCGGCAGGCCUAACACAUGCAAGUCGAACGAGUGGCGGACGGGUGAGUAAUGUCUGGGAAACUGCCCGAUGGAGGGGGAUAACUACUGGAAACGGUAGCUAAUACCGCAUACCAUCGGAUGUGCCCAGAUGGGAUUAGCUAGUAGGUGGGGUAACGGCUCACCUAGGCGACGAUCCCUAGCUGGUCUGAGAGUCUGACCAGGGACACGGGAACUGAGACACGGGCCAGAGUGCUACGGGAGGCAGAAGUGGGGAAUAUUGCAAAAUGGGGGCAAGCCUGAUGCAGCCAUGCCGCGUGUAUGAAGAAGGCCUUCGGGUGGUAAAGUACUGUCAGCGAGGAGGCGUUACUCGAAGAAGAAGCACCGGCUAACUCCGUGCCAGCAGCCGCGGUAAUUC
rnacentral:rRNA from 1 species